rnacentral:lncRNA from 1 species
CCAAAUCAUCACAGUCGUCUGUAGCGUGCAAAGGCAAAGGCAAAGGGGAUGACAAUAACAUCAGUUGCACCGUUGAAAAGAAUCGAAUCGAUCGACGAGACACUUUUUUAAUUACAUUCAACAACCAACUCGGUCUAGAGACAUGAUAGCGGCCAAUGAUGGCGAUGACACCGAGAAGUCAAUAGUUCGAUCUACAUAAUUUAUAGAUAGCGCAUGGACCGCAAAGCAGUAUUUUACACGUCACCCAAGAUUCAGAUCAUGGAGCUCGACAAGAUACUAGUCAAGUUUAUACACAUAAGAGAAAAGGGAAGGGAGUUGAUGAUUUUGAGCAAAAGCGACAUAGCCUACAUGACAUAGACACUGAGCAAAGCUCAUCGUAUUCAUUGUUAUCAUACGAUAACACAGAGUAAUAGUACGAUGAUCAAUGUUAUGAUAUGAAGCAACAUAUUAUUGACGAAAAUAGAAAUUCUGACAUUCUCUAUGCUCCGCACUAAUGCAUACCAUAAUCAUCCUUGCCUUAGGAGCCACCUCGGACACAUGUGGUUCACAACGAUCAAACUACGACCAUCACCACAUUGAUGUACCAAUGGCAGACGAUCUAUUAAUAUACCAUGUCAUGGGAUCAAUUUCAAGAUUGUGUCCAACAAGCAUAUCAAAUUAAUAUACAAAUGCAUAAGAUCAAGGGCCCUAACCCACUGCCCGUGGAGUCCCAUCGUUCUUUUUGGUGGUAGAACAAGUAUAUUCAUUGAUUAAUUACUUAAUUCAUUUGAAUUUUAAAGUUUAAAUUGUUUAAAAAAUAAUCUAACAAGUCAAAUAAUUUCUUUAUAGAUAAUUCAAUAUCAACAGAAGGACAGUAUGGAACGUACAACAAAGCUACUCCUCAAAGUCCAAAAAGAUGUGUUACUAUUCUUUCCUAAUUUAGAUUAUUUUUUGCUAAAAUCAUACUAAAUUUAUAUUUAUUUCUAACUUAAAAAUCUUAACCUAACUUGUUUAUUUUUAAAAACUUUUGGAGCUAUUUUUGGAUAUUUUUCCAUACUGUCAGUAUGCUCCACCAUACCGACAUAAGGUAUGUCGGUACAAAUUGGUAUGUAUCAUACCAACGACUAGUCGAUACAUUGAUAUGGACCGAUAAAACGAACCCUAUUGAUAUGUAUAUGAGAGGCAAUAAGAAUAUCCAUAGUUGAUAGGGCGAAUUUAUGGUCUCACUUUUGGGUUUGUCAAAGCCAAGGUUUGCCGUUACGAAGGUUCGCCGUACUGUACCGUACCGGCGUUUCAACCCGGGCUCGAUACGGUACGGUACCGGUGUACCGGGCAGUACAUCAGGGCGUACCGAGCGGUACACCCUGGUGUACCAAAUAAUUUUAUACUUUUUCAUAUUGUAGCAGUGCUACAGUAUAAUACUGUAGCACUAUAGCGAUACAGGACGGUCCGCGUACCGGUAACCUGUCGGACCGGUACGUAUCGCCCGGUAUGGGCGGUACGCUUCGGUAUGACAGACCUUGGUUAAAGCAAAACAUUUUGAAACUUUAAGCAGUUUCCAAGAAGUUUCUGACUCAUGUCUUAAUUAUGAACUUUGAUGUUAUAAAAUGGGGCUUAUGUAUCUGCUAUGCUGCAUAUGACUUCUGGAUUCUUCAAUCAGAAGGAAGCACCUACACAAGAACUUGAGCAGACCAUCAGUAAUAGCAUGAACCACAUGCAAAGAUUAAAAAAUAACAACACUUUUUCCUUUCUACUUCAGCUCUUCAGUGUUAAGAUCGUGCCAAAGUCAAGCUUAAUCUACUUGAACAAUUGGACAGCUUAACUUAGAACUUGAGACUAGCUUGUUCCGGAAAGCAUGCAACAAAGAAUCUUGACUGCUUAUCUCUAUGUGAAAGGAUAUACAGAAUAUUAAAUAUAUUGACUCUUAUAAUUCCAUCAUCUACUUUAUCCAUCCAACCCCAAUUUUCCGCUUACAUCAACUUUCCCUAACAUAAUCCAGGGCGUGCCAUCUUUUUAACUCUCCAAAUAACUGAAUUAAAAUAUUUAGAAAAUCUGACAAUACCAACCUGAUAUCUCAAUACCUCUAGAAGCGUUAGACAAAUAAGAAUCUUGUAGACAACUUGAACUAUAAAUGCAAUUAUAAUUAGUCCGAUAGGUGAGUCAAGAUUCAAGAACACCAACCUCUUUCGAGUCACCCUUUCUGGAACCAAUGUGAAGCAGGGUCCAACCUCUGUCAUUCCUCUCCCUAAGCCUCUGCUUGAAAAAUCGCCUGCUGGACAGGUAGCUCCGAGCCUUAAACUGCUUCUCAGGAUACAUAUUCCACCCAGCCCAAGAUUCGACCACGAUGACAAAGAAGAAAUCAAAGUUCUAUACCCCGCAACUUCUCGACCAAAUCACACUUCUUUUUCCAGCACAAGUGUCCCGGGAGAGCACGCAACAAAGAACCCAACCCGAAAACAAGAUAAAAGGCUUCAGAUAGUCGCCACAACGAUGAGAAAAGCACCCAAAGGCGCGAAUGGAUUCAACCCGGGGCCGAAGGAGCGGAGAUGGGCGCAACGAUGGACGCGAGCGCAAAAGGAGAGGAAACAAUCAUAAUUGAAGACGCCUCUUGAUUGCUCCGAUCAAAUAGGAUGAAACCCUAGAACGAAACGGAUUAAACGAAGAGACAACGCCCGAAGGAAAUCGGGGUGAGGAUUGAAGGGGAGGAAUCAUGUAGAAGCUGCAAGUCUUGUUCGAA